rnacentral:lncRNA from 1 species
CAUCUGUCUGUGUCAAUCAAACGAAGGUAUAAUUAAUAAGAAUAUGAUGAUUAGAGGCCCACUUAUUCGAAUGUUAACGCAAGUACUAAAUCAUAGAAUAAUGACUAAUAUCCUAGUUUAAUAUUGUUCUCUGGGGCGUAGUUGCAGGGCUCUCAAGUCUCACGUAUUUCUAAUAAAUUUCUCACCUUACACUGCAUUUUUCACUCAGUAUCAAUUUAUUACAGUCCAAGAUUUCCUAUUUAUAGUCUCAAUAUUACAAAUGGAAGCCCCAUCCUCGUCAUAAAGGCCUCAAAACAAGACAAAUCGCAAUUUAAAACUAUCAACGCCUCUUUAAUGCACCAUCUAAACAAGGAGUGGUCAAUUAUUUUGUCUUAAGAGUCACUGUCUUGUAGUCUUGUAUUACUUAAUACUAACUAACUUUAUUCUAUAAUUUACAAGUGUACUAUAAACAUUUGAGACCCCGAUAAACAAACAAGAACAUAAACAGACAUAAAUAAAUACAUACAUAACAUA